AGCGAACGCUGGCGGCAGGCCUAACACAUGCAAGUCGAACGAACUCUUCGGAGUUAGUGGCGGACGGGUGAGUAACACGUGGGAACGUGCCUUUUGGUUCGGAAUAACUCAGGGAAACUUGUACUAAUACCGAAUGUGCCCUUCGGGGGAAAGAUUUAUCGCCAUUAGAGGGGCCCGCGUCUGAUUAGCUUGUUGGUGAGGUAACGGCUCACCACGGCGCCGAUCAGUAGCUGGUCUGAGAGGAUGACCAGCCACACUGGGACUGAGACACGGCCCAGACUCCUACGGGAGGCAGCAGUGGGGAAUCUUGCGCAAUGGGCGAAAGCCUGACGCAGCCAUGCCGGGUGAAUGAUGAAGGUCUUAGGAUUGUAAAAUUCCUUCACCGGGGACGAUAAUGACGGUACCCGGGGAAGAAGCCCCGGCUAACUUCGUG
rnacentral:rRNA from 1 species